AGCAGACACCAUGACCAAGGCAAGUCUUAUAAAAAACAACAUUUAAUUGGGGCUGGCUUUCAGGUUCAGAGAUUCAGUCCAUUAUCAUUAAGGUGGGAGCAUGGUAGUAUCCAGGCAGGCAUGGCUCAGGAGGAGCUGGGAGUUCUAUGUCUUCAUCCAAAGGCUGCUAGUGGAAGACUGACUUCCGGCAACUAGGGUGAGGAUCUUAUAUCCACACCCACAGUGACACACCCAUUCCAACCAGGUCACACCUAUUUCAACAAGGCCACACCUUCAGAUGGUGCCACUCCCUGGUCCAAGGAUAUACAAACCAUCACAGCAUGCAUGUAUAUACGUGUGUAUAUGUGUGUGUAUGUAUGCAUGUAUACCCAUGUGCACACUCCCAAGUCCCUCACAAACAUUCAUGUAAUAAUAAUGAAUGAAAAAGUGGUCAUGAGUUUGAAAGAGAACAAGGAGGAGUAGAUAGGAUUCGGAGGGGGGAAAAGUAAGGGAGAAAUCACAUAAUUAUAUUAUAAGCUCAGUAUUAAAUAAUUUAAAACAUUAUCACACAUAGUUAUCCAUUCUAACUCUCCAGCUCUUUUGGUGUGGGUAUAUACUCUUUUUUGGGAGGGGGUAUAUACUCUUUAUUGUAGAAUUUCUAUAUGACAAACAAUGUUCAUCGUAAUUGCUCUAAGUACCUCAAGUCUUAAAGGACGUACUUAGGAUAUUAAUUCAUUGGUUGUGUGGCAUUCCCAAUUUUGUCUCCCCUGCCAACCAGUGAAUUACUGUGAUGCAUAAAAAUGUCACAUGUCAUGUCUGACAAAACAAUGAUGACACCUAACACAGCACUCAGACAUUGCCUCCUUAUUGAAGACCUGGACUACAGCUGGUGGCACUGUGAGGAGACAGUGGAUGAUGCAGGGUGUGGCCUUGUGGCAAGAAGUAGGUAGGAAUGCAUAUCCUUGAAGAGUAUAUUGGGGCCCUGAUGCUGGCUGUUUCCAAAAUGCCACGAAUGACCAGUGUGGCUCUACCAUGCUCUCCCACAAUGAUGUCUGCCCCGCAACUUGUCCCAAAGUCAGAGGACCAUGUAACUAUUCACUGAAUGCCCCAAAACAAUGAGCCAGAAGCAGACCUUUCUUCCUUUAAGGUUGAUUGUCUGGAGUGCUUUUUUGUUGGACUAAGAGAAAGUUCAUGAAAGCAGACUCCAGGUGUGGCCCUCAGCCUCUAAUGCAUGUUACCUUAUUCUGUCAGCUUGCUGGAAGGUAUACAACUAUUACAUGAACUAUCUUAUAUAAAUACAAAUUAAUAAAUCCAAAAUAAAACUAUUUUGUGGCUGAGAAAACUGAGGCUCAGAGAAGGAAGUGACAGGUGCCUUUGGAUUUAGCAGGUAAAUCUAGAGCCUUGCUCUUUCCCACUACACUGUGACUUGUGUUUCAGAGAAGAACCUGCUAAGAUAAGAUACUCUAUUGCUAUAUCCCUGGGAAGAUAGAUAGUCUACCCCAGUAGAAACAGGGAUGGGAUAGGAAUAAAACUGAAGUACCUUCAACUCCAUCUUUAUUCCUUUGUGGACCAGUGAUGUUGGGGAGAGAGCUGGGUGAACGAGCCACUCAGUACUAACCAAGAAAAGAAAGUAUUUAGGAGAAGACCUGUUUAGUGGAGCAGGGAUGGUGGUUUUUAGCUGCUGGGCAGGAAGAACUGUGAUACAGUGAAGACCAGUUCAAAGUUUUCAGCAUAGAAGAGACAAAAGCAUAAAGCAUAGAAGAGGCAAAAGAAAAUUACCACCAGUGAAUGUGAUAGACUGGGAGGAGGAGAGAUGUAGGGUAGAAAGACCAGCUGAGAGACAGCCCAAGAGACCACAGCACAGAUGGUUAGAACUGGGGGAGUGACUCCAGGGACAGAAAGAUUGGGGAAGCACAUUCAGAAAAAUGGAUACAAAAGUCAAGUAGAAGCUGGGACUGUUGGCUUACGCCUGUAAUUCUAGUACUUGAGAGGCAGAGGCAGGAGGACUGCUGUGAGUCAGAGGCCCAGCCUAGAUUAUAUGGUGAACUCCAGAUCAGAACGAGCUGCAUAGCGAGGCUCUGUUUCAACAUGACUGCUAGAGUCCAACCUACAUAACUGACAGAAUGAGGUAGCCUCUCAGGAAGGGGUACAGAGAAGUUUCAAAGAGAAGAGAAUUUGGGGGUGGGGGUGGGGAAAUAUGGACACAGAUAGUGAAACUCUGACAAAAUGCAUGAGAACCUUGUCUGGGACCAAAGUGGGAAGUGAGAGUUGGGACUUACAAUCCCUGCAGAGCCCGGUGGGUUAAGAUCACAGACACAUGACAAUUCGAAGGGAGAGCAGGCAGAGGCAAAUCAAGAAUGAUAAAGACAGACAGACAAUGAGGAGAGGACACAGAAGAGACAAGGCCAUAGACAGGAGAGGAGCUGAGAGCUGUGUGUCCUGGAUGAUAUGGAGGGGGGCAUUUGGAGAAUGAGGAAGGGAACACACAGAAGAGAAGAUGAGCUCAGAGAAGAGGCCCUGCAUUCGGCCGCAGGCACCCACAAGGAAGAUGCUUCAGUAGAGGAGGAAGAGUGGGAAAGAACAUUUGGUGAGCAAGCACAGAGAUGUGGAUGGUUUGAAGGUGACAGGAGAGAGAUUAAGACCAGCUCAGAUGGUAGAAUGAACCAGGGAAAACUUUUUAGGGAUGAAGGGGCCAAUGUUCAUAGAACAAGAGGAAGAAAUGAAUGAGAGAGUAUCUGCCCGACUCAGCUGUACGUGUGUGUGUGUGUGUGUGUGUGUGUGUGUGUGUGUGUGUGUGUGUGUGUGUGUGUGAAACAGAGGGUAGAAGUUAGAAUGUGGGGACAGAAGAAGGACUGCUAUUAGAGAAGGGGAGGGUAACUAGGAGGUGUGUGAGGUAGGUUAUGAAAGCAAAUGAGUCACAUCAGGUCAAAGUCAAGGUCACCUAAAGGACUGUGAAAAUGAUGCCCACCAUAGUAGUCUCUGAGGCAUCCUGCUCAGAACUUCUUUUAAAGACAUCACAUUCUGGCCAGAUUUUGUAAUACUUGUCUGUUUUCUGGUAUGGAAGAGGCAGAUGCAGGAGGAUUACAAGUUGUAGGCUGGUCUAGAGAGUUGUGAAGCUCCAGAGUGAAACCCUGCCACAAAAUGCAAAACAUAACUGUGAUGGUCUGUAUGUGCUUGGCCCAAGGAGUGGCACUAUUAGGAGGUGUGGCCUUGUUGGAGUAGGUGUCACUGUGGGUGUGGGCUUUAAUACCCUAGUCCUAGCUGCCUGGAAGUGAGUCUUCCACUAGCAGCCUUCAGAUGGAGAUGUAGAACUCUUAGUUCUGCCUGCACCAUGCCUGCCUGGAUGCUGCCAUGCUCUCACCUUGAUGAUAAUAGACUGAACCUCCGAAACUGUAAGCAGCCCCAAUUA
rnacentral:lncRNA from 1 species